GACGAACGCUGGCGGCGUGCUUAACACAUGCAAGUCGAACGGAAAGGCCCUGCUUUUGUGGGGUGCUCGAGUGGCGAACGGGUGAGUAACACGUGAGUAACCUGCCCUUGACUUUGGGAUAACUUCAGGAAACUGGGGCUAAUACCGGAUAGGAGCUCCUGCUGCAUGGUGGGGGUUGGAAAGUUUCGGCGGUUGGGGAUGGACUCGCGGCUUAUCAGCUUGUUGGUGGGGUAGUGGCUUACCAAGGCUUUGACGGGUAGCGGGCCUGAGAGGGUGACCGGCCACAUUGGGACUGAGAUACGGCCCAGACUCCUACGGGAGGCAGCAGUGGGGGAUAUGGCACUGUGGGCGAAAGCCUGAUGCAGCAACGCCGCGUGCGGGAUGACGCCCUUCGGGUUGUAAACCGCUUUCGCCUGUGACGAAGCGUGAGUGACGGUAAUGCGUAAAGAAGCACCGGCUAACUACGUG
rnacentral:rRNA from 1 species